UUGGAUGGAAAAAAUCCUUCAGGAAAGUAUACGUAUCAAAUGUAACAUGUAGUGUAACAAAGUAUGAACAGUAAGGUUUUUACAUACAGUAGUAUUACAUACGUACAUAACUUUUUUUUACAGGAAUUUCCAACCAAGUUUGAUUAUGUACAUACAUGUUAUAAACCACUGUACGUAUGGUUACUGUAUGUAACUUACUAAACAUACAUACAUGACUUAACUUUGAUACUUUUUUGGUACAUUCCAGAAAACCAGGACCCCCUCCAUGAUGCAGGCUAUGGGGCCACAUAAAACUUUGUCCAGGGUUACUACUACAUAACAUAGCACGACAACAGUAAACUACUACAGUACUAAAGAACCCCCUGAAUGAUGUAGGCUAUGGGGCCACAUAAGACUUUGUGCAUCCAGGGUUACAUAGAACGACAAAUUUAAACUAAAAAACCCCCUGAAUGAUGUAGGCUAUGGGGCCACACAAGACUUUGUGCAUCCAGGGUUACAUAGAACGACAAAUUUAAACUAAAA